UACGUAGGGUGCGAGCGUUGUCCGGAAUUAUUGGGCGUAAAGAGCUCGUAGGCGGUUUGUCGCGUCUAUCGUGAAAACUGGAGGCUCAACCUUCAGCUUGCGGUGGAUACGGGCAGACUUGAGUUCGGUAGGGGAGACUGGAAUUCCUGGUGUAGCGGUGAAAUGCGCAGAUAUCAGGAGGAACACCGGUGGCGAAGGCGGGUCUCUGGGCCGAUACUGACGCUGAGGAGCGAAAGCGUGGGGAGCGAACGGG
rnacentral:rRNA from 1 species